GUGAGAGGGGAGUGGCGCACACCGGAAAUUAGCCAACUAUUGCUCCUCCGGCUGCUUAUAGUUAGUCAUAGCCAUGGCGCCGGAUGAAAAAAUUGUAGAGUGGCAAACAAACGAGAUAAUUGAAUCGCUGUUUAACGACGAAAACAGUGCGAGGCCCCGUAUGAUAGAUGGUGAUUUGGAGACUGACAGUUCAGACGAUUUUGACCCGGUUAUAAUCGCUGAUAAACUGAGAGCUGUCGCCGAUACCCUGAAUAAGGACCCCAAUUUUAAAAAAGCAUUAGAUGAGCUGAAGAAAACCGCAGCAACAGAGGCUACAGAGGCUGCAUUUGAACGUGGCGUGGAGCUCCUAUGUAAGAGUCAUGUCGCUCAGAAAGCUGACAUUGCUCCAGAGAUGCAGCUGAUCCGGGCCUCAGCAGCUAUUGGACUUUAUCUGAAAAACUCAUACCCAGAGAUGAAAGAGAAUGUCAAGACAGCCUUGGCUUCAUUCCUCAACAGGCGGGUGGGCAAAUGGAUCACUGAGAAAGGUGGAUGGGUAUUUGGGAUGUAUGCAGUACAGAUAUUCCACCCUGGUAAAAUAACAGUUCAAACAAAUAAUUAAAAUGAUAAGUGUAUGUAACCAAAGCUCUACAGAAGAGGAGAAAAGGCAAAGUUGCACCUGUUUGAGACUAAAUCCAGCCAAACCAACCUCAUAGAGCUCUACAAUCAAACUGGGUAUUAAUUUCUUAAAUGUCUGUUCAGGGUUUUGUUAUCACACAGGCAGACAUGUUAUCACACACUAAGCCUGUUUAUUAUAUGAGAGAGAAGGGGGGGAAAAAAACAGAACACUUUCUCAUUGAAGUUCCUGCUUGGCUGAGCCCAUGUAGUGAUUCUUGGCUUUAUAUGUGGUGGUAAAAUAAUUGUAUUACUUGAAAUGCUCUCCCUGAAUGGGUUAAUAAAUAAAGGGCAAAUAAUAUAAAAAUAUGAUACCAGCGGAUCUUCACUACAUCAUGAUCUUAAGGGAGAGUCUUUUGAGUAAUCAGUGGGGUAGCCUCUAAUCAUGUCUAUUUAUUGUCUUUCUAAGUGCUGUCUUUUGGGAAGCUCUAGCAUUUCUCAGUAAGGUGAAAAUGCUUAGAUUAAUUAACAUUAUUUAGUAAGUUUAGGUGUGUUUUGAAUUCUUAAUGGGGAAAAACCUUAAAAAAGGGAUUUGUCCCUUUUGCAAAACAUGUUAAGAUUUUGACUCCAUAUGUACCUUAAAUCAUACUCAUUACAUUUUGCUAUCUUUGAUCGAGCUCUAAAUUCAUGUGUUUGAAAACAGUUUAGUGAAAUGCAGGUAGUCUGUCAUAUCUUGAGCCAUCAGAUGAUGAAGAACCUGCUGUCAGGUUGUUAUUUUUAUGUCUGCAUUUUAUUUAAUUUUUUUCACGAUGACAUAUUUGCACUGGGAAAAACUGAACAACUUCAAAAGUAGGUACACACGUGUUGCCAUUAGGGAUGUGCCAAUUGCAUUAAAAUAUUAAUUUGUAUGUCAGCUGGUAAAAUAUUUUUUAUUUUCUUAUUUGUUUCUUCUUAAUGACUCUAAACAGUAGUGGUAUAUACUUAAAUGUAAUGGUUAAUCCAACAUUAUGGACAAGGGUUUUAAUUGAAAUUAUAUUUCUAAUGCUAAAGUGUAAUUCAUGUUAUCCGUGAAUUUUCAAAUUUGCUGUUUUACAAAAAUUCAGAAAAAAUAGUAAAGCACUUAAAAGAAAAAGAGACCAACGGAAAGAUUAGUUGUUAGUGCCGGCUCAAAUUAAGGUCAGUGAAUUCAUUAAUUUUAAGUAGGUUUUUGACAGGAUUUCUAAAAUAAUGUUUGUUUUUCUGUUUCGUCAAUGACUGCUUAAUCAAUUUUAAAAGCAUUUGUUAAGCACUGUAUCUUUAAAUUUAGGAAACUAGAUUAUACAGUGAUGGAUAAAAAAAACAGUUAAUGCUAGAUUUGCUGAUGGCAAUCAAUGAAGCAGAUAUUAGGAAAUCAUGGUUAUUGGUGCUGUACGAUGAUGUCAUUAAACCCAGCAACAAAAGCAAAAAGAUGAAGCAAAUAAAAAAUGAAUGUAUAUUUGCACAUUGUUGUCAGUUAAAAGUGCAACUAAGCUUUUUCUUUUUGUAAUUUUUCUAAUGAUUCAAUAAAAAAAGAAUUUGAAAAUCU
ensembl:lncRNA